UACGUAGGUGACAAGCGUUGUCCGGAUUUACUGGGCGUAAAGAGCGCGCAGGCGGUCGUUCAAGUCGAGUGUGAAAGCCCCCGGCUCAACUGGGGAGGGUCAUUCGAUACUGAUCGACUCGAAGGCAGGAGAGGGAAGUGGAAUUCCCGGUGUAGUGGUGAAAUGCGUAGAUAUCGGGAGGAACACCAGUGGCGAAGGCGACUGUCUGGCCAGAUACUGACGCUGAGGCGCGAAAGCGUGGGGAGCAAACAGG
rnacentral:rRNA from 1 species